GGGAAGGUGGCUCAGUGGUAGAGUGCUUGCCUUGCAUGCAUGAGGCCCUGGGUUCGAUUCCUUAGCACCUCA
rnacentral:tRNA from 1 species